rnacentral:lncRNA from 1 species
GUGGUCACUCAAUGGUCACUCAAUGGGCAGUAUAAGGGCAGUGGUCACUCAGUGGUCACUCAUUGGUCAGUGGUCACUCACUUCCGGCCGAGCUCUCUCAGGUCGUGCCCCCAUGACCGAUGCUCAGUGGUCACUCCCGUGGUCACUCCUGUGGUCACUCAGUGAUCACUCAUUGGUCAGUGUUUACUCAUUGGUCACUCAUUCGUCAUUGGUCACUCAUUGGUCACUCAAUGGUCAAUGGUCACUCAAUGGUCACUCAGCAGUCAAUGGUCACUCAAUGGUCACUCAAUGGUCAAUGGUCACUCAAUGGUCACUCAUUCAUCAUUGGUCACUCAGUGGUCACUCAAUGGUCGCUCUGGGAUGUUCUGUAUUGGUCAAUGGUCACUCAAUGGUCACUCAUUGGUCACUCAGUGGUCACUCAAUGGUCACUCAUUGGUCACUCAGUGGUCACUCAGUGGUCACUCACUUCCGGCCGAGCUCUCUCAGGUCGUGCCCCCAUGACCGAUGCUCAGUGGUCACUCCAGUGGUCACUCCUGUGGUCACUCCCGUGGUCACUCCCAUGGUCACUCCUGUGGUCACUCAUUGGUCAAUGGUCACUCAAUGGUCACUCAGCAGUCAAUGGUCACUCAGGGGUCACUCAGUGGUCACUCAGUGGUCACUCAGUGGUCACUCAGUGGUCAGUGGUCACUCAGUGGUCACUCAGUGGUCAGUGUGGUCACUCUGUGGUCACUCAGUGGUCACUCAGUGGUCACUCAAUGGGCAGUAUAAGGGCAAUAUAUGGGCAGUGGUCACUCAGUGG